GAAUGCUGAGAAAGUUGGUAUUG
rnacentral:siRNA from 1 species